AUCAGAAUGUCGCGGUGAGUACGUUCCCGGGCCUUGUACACACCGCCCGUCACACCAUGAGAGUCGAUAACACCCGAAGCCUGUGAGCUAACCGCAAGGAGGCAGCAGUCGAAGGUGGGGUUGAUGAUUGGGGUGAAGUCGUAACAAGGUACC
rnacentral:rRNA from 1 species